UGGAGGGAACCAACUCCAGACACAACAGUGCACUGGAUCUUGCCGCUGUGGCUGUCCUGGAGUUUCCGAGCCUACUCUGGCUUGGGAGGCCGCCCGAGUUGCACAUCUUUCAUUGCUUGAUGAAACUCCUUUAAAUUUAAUUCGGCUGAAGUUUUUCUUUUAUCAUGUGUAAUGUCAAAAUAUCCAGUUGGAAAGGGGAAAAAACGACGAUCCUCAAGAAGGCGGUUCGGGCAACACCAAGCCUCCAGCAGUGGGAAGAUCAAUGUCAAGGUGAUUGAUGAAUUUCCCUUUUUUAUUCGGAUGUUUUGAAGUCAGAUAGGAACUGACAGAAAGUGAGAUUGGUGGGCAAUUUUCUGGAAAUGAAAUCUAGAAGUUGGACUAGAUCAUGGAGUCUAGCUUGAGAGCCUCCGGAAAAUAGGCCUCCAUGUAAUCUAAAAGUAAAGCUGGCCCAUACAGAGAUGAAAGGCUGGCAAGAGCCUGGGAAGUCUUUGAAAGGGAGGAUUUUUAAAUUUAGGUAGCAGGAAGGGAAUGAUGAUGUCACAGCUAAGAUCAGACAGCCCUCGAAGUAGAACCUACAGGUGAAAUAUGGAAGGGGAGAUGGUGUUCAGGAGGCUUCAGUGGCCUAUGGGGAACAGGAAAGGAAUGAGACAUAAAGGGGAGUUUUUAAAAGUUUGAAGUCUUAUUUUUCACCUGUGGUCUAAGACAGAAUUUAAAAUCUGUUUGGAAUAAAGUACAGAUGAAGAACAAAUCAAAUUUGUCUACAAUAGAAUGUUCGUAAUUAAGGAGAAGUCAGAAUUUUGUAUAAUAGGAAUAGGAAUGGAGGGAAAGGGGACCAGUUCUGUUGACCAUGCUUUGCAGAUAAGGGCGUCUCGGUCACCAAUUUGCAAAAAGUCACCCGGGGAACUUGUUGAAUGAGGAUUUUGAUUCAAUAUGUCUGGGAUGGAGCCAGAGAGUCUGCAUUUCUAAUUAUCUCCCAGAUGACAUCAACGCUGCUUUGGGUGGCAAGGCUCUACAGCAGGGAUUUCCACAACUGAAUUCACGAAAGUCCCUUAGUAACUCUGAUAUGCAGCAGGAUUUUGGAACUGGAGCUAUUGAAAAGCUCAUUGAAGAUUAAUUAAUGCAAGAACCAGAGGAAUCAGGACAGUAUUGAAGCUUCUUCAAGCAAAACGUUUUAUUUCCAGCAGCAUGUGGAAAAACAUAUUGUAGAUGUCUGUAUAAAAUAUCUCAAACAGCCAUCAGAAAUUUGGGAUGUAAUGUUUUUAAUAAACCAUAGAAUGCCUGUUUUAAA